rnacentral:lncRNA from 1 species
CUUGACCCACCAAAAUGCUUACUGUGAAAAUUCUAAGCAUUAUUGUGGCAGAUCCAGUAAGUCCCAGAGAAGGAUUCUGAUUGGUCCUGCUUCAGUCACAUGCUUGCAUCUUAGUCCAAUCACUGUGGCCUGGAGGAUGGGACACCAUGAUUUGCAAGACUCUGGUCACAUGCCCACACCUGUGGCUUCUGAAGCAGAGCACCAGCAGUGACAGUCCCACCAGAACCGCAUGGAAUAGAAAACUGUGCAUUUCCCUAAGGAAAGGGAAUGCCAGAGAAGGGCAGAAGGGAAAUCAGGAAGACAAAACGGUAAAUUACCUACCACAAAUCCAAUUCAUUGGUAUUUUUCCACUUACACUUAACCAAGCAACGAUUUCUCCUGGUCCCAUAAUGGAAAAGAGGGUUUAUCUAGAUUCAUAUAUACAAGACUGAAGAGUGAAGAGAGACCCAGAGAAUGUUCUAAAAUCUGCCAGUUAGCAUAAUCACACAGAGAAAUCUCUGCUUCCAGAGGAGGAGCCAAGUUCAAGUCAGAGUGUCUUCAUGUUGGAGUGGACCUUUCCUCUAUCUGUCAACAGAAUGGAUAAAUUGUGGAAGAGUAAUAUCAGAAUACUACACAUCAGUAAAAAACAACAAACUUCUGCUACAAACAAUCAACAUCGAUGAAUCUUUCAGGCAAAAGGUUAUAGAAACAGAUGAUCAGUGGCCCACGGAUUCCAGGUGAGGAUCUGGGACCCAGACAUCCAGAUAUUGAAAACACAGGGAUGGAGUCUGUAUGGAAAAAAUUAAAAUAUAGCAAAAUGUGAAAUACGGAAGAGAAAUCUUUCAAUUUCCCAAUGGAAGUGAGAAAAGAGCAAAGAAAAGUAUUGGUCUUCCAAAACAAAUAGAGGACGGAGCUGCUGCUGUUGCAUGGUGUCUAGAAACUCAGACAACUUCAUCAUUCCAUAUUUGCAUCCAAGAGAGAGAAAGAAAAACUACAAUCAUUUUCCAUUUACCCAUCAACCCAUCAACCUCCAAAUAAAGGCUAUUAAAAAACAAUCAAAGUGUGAAGAGGGCAGAAAAUGUGAUGAAGAGAUUCUUUGGAGAAAGUAGCUGCCACUGUUACCUUGGGAUCUGCCUAUAGUCCUCACAGAGCUUGCCCUUGCAGGAUAGAACAUAGGAGUCUGGGAGUCUGCAAGAAGAGACAGGGUCUCACUAUGUUGCCCCAGUUGGCCUUGAACUGCUGGACUCAAGGGAUCCUCCUGCCUCAGCAUCCUGAGUAGCUGGGUCUACAGGCAUGAACCACCAGGCCCAGAACCCUGUCUUUUGAAAGCCAUAUGCGAUCUGUCUGCCCUGAAGUGACUACUUCAUCUCCAACCAGCCCUUGGCUGGCAAAGUCAGGAAGACUCCAGUCUUUCCUGAAGACCAGGGGAGAGUUUAUAACUCUAGCAUCAAAGUCAGCAGCUGUUCAUCUAGAAGACAACUUCCCAAAAGUCAAUGUCUUUGCCUGAAGCUUUUCUUCCCAGAUCUCCUAUGGUGAAACAACCAAAGGGAAGAAGAAUGUGGGCAGCCCUCAGUAAGACAGGAGAUGAGCAUCAACAUUGACCCAUUCUUUCUUCCAGUCCUCGAUGCUUACCUUGUACAUUCUUCUUUGUCUUCCGACUCAGUGCCUUUAGGGUAUGGACGUUGCCUGGUCCCACACAAGCCAAGCAUCAAAUGGAUGGCUCAACAAGGAGGCCAAGACCAGCUAAUGUUUAGUGAGCACCCAAAGGGGCCACACUGGAGAGAACAGCACAGCUCCGUCUGAGAAACAGCUGUUCCUUCCUGCCUGAGAGGCAGAGUGAUAGAAGAUAUCACAGAAUGUUGCUGCUUUGUCUUCCACCCUGAACCCUCCACGACCUCCCUGUAGCUUCCUGAUUUUAAGUAGACAUCAAAUGAUUCUUAAUCCUUUCUGGGUCUUGGAACGAUUUGAAAAUUGUCAACAGUACUGGGAUUCCCAGAAUAAUGCACAUAUGUACAUACUCAGAUAUUCCCCAAGCCCUGGAUAUAAUUUUAAGGGAGUUCACAGACCACACUCCCCCACCCAUCUGUGGACCCAGAUUCUGUGGGUUCGAGAUUCAGAAGCCCUGUUUCUAGGCAGGCCCUCUGUUGCUAACGCCCCUCGAGAACAUCACCCUAGAUGAUUAUCCCUUCUUCCUCCACUCCUUCCCACCUUCUCCAACUGCUGGGUUUCAGCACAAAGAUUGCUUGCCAGUUAAACUGGCACCAUGGACCGCACAGUAGUUGUUUCUUGGGUCUAGAGGAAACAGCCAGAUUCCUUUAAGUAAAUCAUGUCUUAGUUAUUGAUUGUCUCCACUUGAAGUUUUUGACAAUCUCUGAUUAAAUCAUAAACCACUGCAUCCUCCAUCUCCUGCUUCAGUCUCUCAAACCAAAUGUCAGUUUCUUUGUAGCCCUUCAAUUCAAAGUUUGCAAAUUCUGGAUCUAGGCUUCAUUCUUUCACUCAUUUAAGCACUAACAUCUAUUGCAUAACUAUUAAAUGCCAGGCACUGUUCUAGGCAUCAGGGACAUAAUAAUGUACAAAACAGCCUUCAUGUUAAUUUACUUAUUCUCUUCCAAAAUGCUAAUUCUAACCAGUGCUGCUUUAAAAACCAUUAUAAUUAUUACAAUAACUGCCUAAGUUAUAAGCUCUAUUCUAAAUAGUUAAUAUGUAUUAUUAUUUUUCAGAAAACUCUAUGAGGUAGGUAUUAUUAUUAUCAUUCUUAUUUUACAGAAGUGAAAAUCAUAAAGGUUAAGUAAUUUGCCCCAGCUAGAGAGGGACAAAGACAAGAUGUAAC